GAAAUGCGAUAAGUAAUGUGAAUUGCAGAAUUCCGUAAAUCAUCGAAUCUUUGAACGCACAUUGCGCCCUCUGGUAUUCCGGGGGGCAUGCCUGUCCGAGCGUCAUUGCGAACCCCUCAAGCACGGCUUGUGUGAUGGGCCCUCCCGCGUCUUGGUCGUCAAGACGGGCCCGAAAUGCAGUGGCGGCUUCGCGGUUAUCCGAUCAGCCAGAGCGUAUGGGGACUUUCUCUCUGUCACACGCCCGCGGCGCGGACCGACGCCUGUCGACCUUUAUUCAUCUUUUUCUCGGUUGACCUCGGAUCAGGUAGGGAUACCCGCUGAACUUAAGC
rnacentral:misc_RNA from 1 species